rnacentral:misc_RNA from 1 species
AACGCAUCUUGCGCUCCUUGGUAUUCCGAGGAGCAUGCCUGUUUGAGUGUCAUGAAGUUCUCAAUCCAUAUUGAUUUGCUUCGAUGUGGAUUGGAUAGUUGGGGGUUUUUGCAGGCCAUUUCAAGGUCUGCUCUCCUGAAAUAAAUUAGUGGCGUCUGAGUGAGGGACCACUUACAGGUGUGAUAAAAAUUAUCUAUGCCUCUUGUAGAAAGCCCUGUGCCCAAGCUGCUUCAAAUCUAGUUUUGUUUGACCAAUUUGACCUCAAAUCAGGUAGGACUACCCGCUGAACUUAA